GUGGUAGAGCUGCUGCAGUGGAACAUUGGCGCCAUUUUCAAACUUCAGAGCCUCAGUGACUGGAACUCUUGUAACAGCUACAUUAUUCCUCAUUAUGAUGAUUAUCAUAUAUUUUUUUAUUCUUACCUCAGGACCCUUCAUUACUUUAACGACUAUGAUAUAUAUAUAUUUUUUUACAAAUAUUGGGAACUGGAAAAUGAUUUUCAUGAAAGGUGCAGGAGACAGACUACACUGGAAUAGGGGAGGCCGGCGGGUUACUUUGGGAAUACCAAGCACCUUUUCCUCUCCCCUGUUGCCUAACAUGCUGGAGAACGGGGAUCGAGGAUGGACCUGUGGUUGGCCGCUGUAAACCCGCAGUCACCACAACCUGAGAGGAUGGCACAGCAAUGACUUUAGGUGGGGCUGGGGGAGCCAUAGAAACCGCCACCUUCUUGCUACUCUUCUUUGGGGAAUCAGUGGCUUUCCCUUGCCUGUGUUUUCCUCCAUCAUCCUCCCACUGCAUCAAAUGGGUGAAGGUAGGGCUUGAGUUAAGAUGGCUGACACAGUGGGCUGUCAUUUCAAAUGAGCACUAAGUAAAUUACUCUCCCUCCAUUAUCGUAAUGAAAUGUCUUUCCCAUCGAGAAAGGGAGACGGCAAGGGAAAAACAUGAAAUAGACCCUUUGGCACACAGUCAACAUUAGUCUUACUCACCAAGCUCACUUUCUCUGUCUAAGAUUAAACAUUCAAACGUACAAUGCCCAUAUGAUAUCUGAACUAAGAAGACGUGAAUUCACUAGCAAUAUUUCACAUAUAAAUGCAUAUAUUGAUCUAAGUAGUUGGUAUAUGGUAAACACAGACUUUGUCUCUCAUACAAGAAGAGUCAUGCUGUGGGCACUAGAAUGCAUGCAAUGUAAGUAGCAAACGAAAAAAAUAUUAAAUAUUAGUACAUUAACACACACACACACACAAAGACUUGCCCACACAGAAACAAUUCAGAACAGUUAGACAACAUACAUGAAAUUAAAUGGCUCCUGGUUUCUGCAUGAAGUAUUAGUAUAUUGAGUUGGACCACAGUCAGAAAGCAGGGACGGCAGACAAGCUCACACAAUAACUGGGAUAAACUAGCACAUGAAAUACUGAGUAGAUGCGUCAGAUACAGAGUGGAGAGAAAUGUACUGUGAAGCAGCCUUUAUAAAUGUAAGCCUAUAAGAAAGGAUAAAAACAAACAUAAAUAAUAAAAAAGUAGGAUCCUGAGGACCAGUGUAAAUGAGGGUUUCUAGGUUCCAGUGGAACAGACAUGCACGCUCACUGUUUAGAGGUAAUAUAACUAUAACAUUUUUUUUCUGGUACAUACAUUUGAUGACCAUAGCACAUGAUAAUCUCUAAUAGCAGCUUGAAUUCUCCUCCUCUACAUAUAUAUUGGAAGAUACCACAAAUAUAUUUUGUCACAUAAUAUAAUUGGUUGAUAAGAAUAAUAUCUGACACAGGGAGGAAUAAAAGUGCAACAUUCACAAAUUAAUUUUCAUGCCUGCUCUGAGACCGCAAUCAAAGAAAAAGCUUUGGCAACCUUUGCCGUUCUGAAAAAGAGACUAUUAAGGGUUAUGGUCAUCAGUUUUCUCUUUCUUAAAUUUAUGUCAGAUUUAUCUAGAGAUCUGUGCAGCGCUCCUGCUUGCUGUAAUGGUCGAACUGGCUCUUCCAGUGCAUCAUGUAGGAGCUCCAGCGAUGGAACUCCACUUUCCACUGCCUCUCAACAUCAUCAAUGUUGUCUGGUGUUGCCUGUUGUAUCAGUCAGCUGAAGAACAUAUGAAGUGUCCAAGUAAAACCUCACAGAAGCUACAAAGAUGCCUAAAUUGUACCUGGCGAUUCCAGUUCACAAGCCGGCUUUGCUUCAGCGCCUCUCCCCCAGGCUCUUCCCC